AAAGAAAGAAUAGAAUAGAAAUAAAGAAACAAAGCAAAACGAAACAGAGAGCAGGGGAAGGAAAGAAAGAAAAAGAGAAAAGAAAGAAGAAAAGAGAAAAUUAAAGGUUUGAAGCUUGGAAGUAUAAUAGCUAGCCUUGCCUCGGAAAAUCUCGGCUAAGCGAGGAAAAGACAAAGUCGACGAGGGAUAGCUCGGAAAUUAAGAUUUGUAUUUCUAUAAACCGAAUUUAAUAAUUAUUUGUUGAAUUUAUUAUUUAAUAUGAAUGGUAAUAAUUAUUAUUAUGGUAUUGAAUAGAAUAAAAAUUCAUGAAUUAUAUGUGAUUAUUGAUAUUGGAUUGAAUAUGUAAUAAGUAUGUGAUUAUUAAGAAAUGAAUUGAAAUAUUUACUGAUUUUAAA